CCUACGGGCGGCAGCAGUGGGGAAUAUUGGACAAUGGGGGCAACCCUGAUCCAGCCAUGCCGCGUGUGUGAAGAAGGCCCUCGGGUUGUAAAGCACUUUCAGUGAGGAAGAACGCCUGGUGGUUAAUACCCAUCAGGAAAGACAUCACUCACAGAAGAAGCACCGGCUAACUCCGUGCCAGCAGCCGCGGUAAUACGGAGGGUGCGAGCGUUAAUCGGAAUUACUGGGCGUAAAGCGCGCGUAGGUGGCUUGAUAAGCCGGUUGUGAAAGCCCCGGGCUCAACCUGGGAACGGCAUCCGGAACUGUCAAGCUAGAGUGCAGGAGAGGAAGGUAGAAUUCCCGGUGUAGCGGUGAAAUGCGUAGAGAUCGGGAGGAAUACCAGUGGCGAAGGCGGCCUUCUGGACUGACACUGACACUGAGGUGCGGAAGCGUGGGUAGCAAACAGGAUUAGAUACCCCAGUAGUC
rnacentral:rRNA from 1 species